AGUGUGUUAAGCACUCUGUACAUUCAUUUUUGCCCACUUAACCAAUGAUUUCCUUCCCAGAUGUAAAAUUCCAGCAUCGAAGGGUAUGCAAAAUAUUAAGGCUUUUGAUAAGCAAUGAAAAAAAGCUUAUACCAAGCAACCAGAAAACGGGAAGCAAUCCAGCAGAAAAAUAAAUGUUUUAUCUUGACGUACAGGGCCAAAAAUAUGAAUAAGCAAUUUACAGAAGAUAUACAGAUAACCAACGAACAUAUGAAGAUACUCAAUCUCACUACUUAUAGAAGAAAUGGAAAAUAACAAUACUAUUUUUUACAUGUAGAAUUGACACAAAUUUGUAAAAUUGGCAAUAUCUUGUAAUGCCAGUGGUGAGGAAGAUGGACAUUUUCACACAAUGUUGGUGGGAGAGGAAAUUGUUACUAGAUUUUUGUAGGCAAUCUGGCAGACCACCAAAAUAAUCUAGUACUGAAAUUUAAAAUGGGCACAUACUAUGAGCCAUAAGUCCUAAUCGUAAGAAUUUAUGCUAAUAAAUUUUAGCACCGUUAACAAAAUGCUAGAAAUCUCAAUGUCCAUUGGUUAUAAAAGCAACAUCUAAAAAUAAACUGUGUUUAUAGGUAGUGACAUGGAAAGAUAUUUUAAAGUAUCAAGUUGCAGACAACUCAUAUAAUACCAUCCGACUUUUCUAAAACAAAAGCUACGUGUAUGUGAAGAAAAACAUAUAUGUUUUGCUUUGUUUUGUUUUUUGAGGAAGAUUAGCCCUGAGCUAACAUCUGCCGCCAAUCCUCCUGUUUUUGCUGAGGAAGCCUGGCCCUGAGCUAACAUCCGUGCACAUCUUCCUCUACUUUAUAUGUGGGACGCCUACCACAGCAUGGCCUGCCAAGUGGUGCUAUGUCCACACCUGGGAUCCAAACCCACGAACCCAGGCUGUGGAAGCGGAACGUGCGAACUUCAACUGCUGCGCCACCGGGCCGGUCCCAAGACAUAUCUGUUUUAUAAGCAUAAAAAUGUUUGGUGCUGGAGAGUGGGAUUGGCUGGUAGGACUCUCAUGUUUUAUUUUAUACACUUCUGUCCUGGCUGAAAUUUUACAACCAAUGUGUAUUUUUAUAAUUAAAGAUUAAAAACAAGAAGCUCUCCAGUCAAAGGUGAUCCUAAUUUUGAUUUAUGUCCAUGAUGUCAGUUUUAGGGGUGAGCUCCCUCAGGCAGGAAUCAAGUCUGCUUGCCUUGCUUCAUGGGUGGUCCAGCACAGACAUUUACCUCUGACUGACAAAGCAUGUAGCAGCAACCAGCACUUCCGGCGGGGCUCCCAGAGGGCUAGCUGUGCAAGAGCAGAUACAAAAAAAGAGGACUGCUGUGCUGUUCAUCACAUUCUUUUUUUUUUUUGCUUUUUCUCCCCAAAUCCCCAUAAGUAGUUGUGUAUUUUAAUUGUGGGUCCUUCUAGCUGUGGCAUGUGGGACGCCACCUCAGCGUGGCCUGAUGAGCGCUGCCAUGUCUGUGCCCAGAAUCCGAACUGGCGAAACCCUGGGCCACCUCAGCAGAGCGCGCCAACUUAACCACUCAGCCACAGGGCCGGCCCCAGCACAUUCUGAUUUAAGUCUUACUCCGUAGUAAAGUUGUUUUCUUUCUCUUC